UUGCUGUGAUGAGGUUAUGCUCCUGAAAUGUAUAUGAUGAAUAAUUUUUGAGCUUUUUAACUCUGAGCUUA